GUGCUCUCUUCAACAUCCCAUAUACUAAAAUUCGAACUGUACUGAGAAGCUCAUGGCCCCUGUGUAAGUAUGAUAUGCAUAUUCGUGAAGCAUCCCAUAUUUUU
rnacentral:snRNA from 1 species